AGGGAAUCGGGGAGGAACCAGAUCCGAACCCUUUUGCGUACACCCAAAAUCCCAUGGGAAGGGGAUUAAAAUGCACAAACAAGAGUUACAAGACAACCCAAAACUGUUAUGAUCUUCUGUGAGCUCAGCAAAGAAGGAAACGGAGAAAAGAAGAUAGUGUUCCUUUGCCUGGUUCCAAAGAUAUCUCCAACAUAGCAAUCGAAUGAAACUAUACUUGUGAAGAACGAAGAUAUGGCCGAUAAGGGUCGGACUUUGCCCGUUGAUCGGAAUCUUCCUCGAUGGGUGUGCCAGAACUGCCGCCACUCCCUUUGCAUCUCUGGCGUCGAUUCCUACGCCGAAAAAUUCUUAAACGAUUCCUCUUCUCGCUCCGCGAUGCAGGGCUUUUCAAUGCAUGGGGCUAACAGUGUGCUAGGCUCAACGCGAAUGGACAAUUCUUUUGUUGUGUUGCCAAAACAAAGACCCCAAGCACAGGGAGUCCCACCGCGUCCUCGCAAUGGAGCUGUUCAGCCUGAUACGGGCCAGUCUGGAAAGGCCAUGGAAGAGUCUUUUGUGGUUGUAUAUAAAUCUGAGCCUGCAUCUGAUGGAGGUGGGACACAUUUACCAUCACUAGAAGGAGGACCAAAUGGACAGUUGCAGCCCAACAAUGCUGGGUUUCACUCUACCAUAACUGUCCUGAAACGUGCCUUUGAGAUUGCUACAUCCCAGACACAGGUUGAGCAACCUUUAUGCCUUGAGUGCAUGAGGGUGUUGUCUGAUAAACUUGACAAGGAGGUUGAAGAUGUAAACAGAGACAUUGAAGCAUAUGAAGCCUGCCUUCAGCGCUUGGAGGGGGAAACACGAGAUGUUCUUAGUGAGGCUGAUUUUCUUAAGGAGAAACUUAAGAUUGAAGAAGAAGAGAGAAAGCUUGAAGCAGCAAUUGCGGAAAUAGAGAAACAAAACACAGAAAUUAAUGCUGAACUGAAGGAACUGGAGUUGAAAUCUGUCCGCUUCAAAGAGUUGGAAGAGCGGUAUUGGCAAGAGUUCAAUAAUUUUCAGUUUCAGUUGAUUUCACAUCAGGUGUGUUGCUGAUUAUUUGCUAUUUGUCAUUUUCUUUUCUUCCAAGCUAAUUGCAUUGAAUGCAUAGUUGUCUAUAUUUUUUGGGUUAAUUAGUUUUGGUAUCUUGAUCCUAACUUUGUAGGCAGAUUUUUUAUGGAUGAAUAAACAGGUAGGCAAAUGUCACUCUUAUAUUCUCUUUCUAUUGACAAGUUAGAGAAAUUUAUGGGAAUUAGUCAAUUCUUUUCUGAUUACAUGUUCAUAAAGUUACUUCCUUUUACUGUAUUUUAAUCACAAUUGACAAAAACCUCUUGGUUAACAGGAAGAGAGAGAUGCAAUUCUAGCAAAGACUGAAGUUUCACAAGCGCAUUUGGAGUUGUUGAAGCAAACUAAUGUACUCAAUGAUGCCUUCCCCAUCCACCAUGAUGGAGAGUUUGGAACAAUAAACAAUUUUCGGCUUGGAAGACUUCCUAAGAUUCUGGUUGAAUGGGAUGAGAUAAAUGCUGCUUGGGGCCAAGCUUGUCUUCUCCUCCACACAAUGUGUCAAUAUUUCAAGCAAAAAUUUCACUAUCCUUUAUCCAUGAGCCAUCUACACGUUUGUCUUCUAUAAUUUGUUGAUAUAAGUAAUUUCUUAUAAGCCCUCUUGAUAUCCAGCAAGAGUGUGUGUGUGUGUAUAAAAUCUUUAUAUCUGGUAUGCAGUUUUUCCCACCCUUGUUGAAGUCCCUCUUUUUCUUCACAUGAGCAUCUGUAUGAGAAAAGGAUUAGCGUUUUGGUUCUUAAAGCAAAGGGGUUUUUGUAGCUCUGAAUCAAGGUCAUUCUCUCAAAUCAUCAGUAAUAUUAUCUGAUUGAUGCGUCCUUAAUUUUGUGGGAAGUCAGAUGGGAAGUGCAUGAUCAUGCAUCUGCCAUAUGGUUUACAUCUCAGUUUUUAUUUUUUCAACUGCCUAUUGUAUUUUGUUAACUAACAUAUUACAUACAUGUAUAUAUUUCUCAGGUUUGAUCCGGUGAACUUAUUUUGGAGUACUCACUAUGACAAAACAAUGACAUUGUUCUUAAUAUGCCUCAAGGACUUUGCUGAGUUUGCAUACUUGAACGAUCAAGAAAACAACAUUCUUCCAGAGAAAUGAUUCAAACUUCCAUACAACUAAGUUUAUUGCCUUUAAGAAAUACGCCGGAGGAGUUUCAUAUUAGUUAUAUUCUAUGUUUGCCUAAUAAUUUUUUCCAACUUGUCUUUUAUUAUACCUGCCAAAAGAGAAAUCUCUUUCAGAUUAAUGUGGUUUUCUGAUUCAAGAUCUAGGUAAUAAUUGAGGUAAAUGUUUGUGGAAAGUGGCAUGAAAUUGUUUGAUAUAUUCUAGCAGACAAUAUAAGUCUUGUAGUUGGUAAUUAAAAUGGCUUGUUUUCAGGUGUGACUAAAAGUUGUUCGAGUC
rnacentral:misc_RNA from 1 species